CAGACGCCUCACUUACCAAAUCAAAUCUAAAACCUAAGCUUUCAGACACCUCGCUUAUCAGGCAUUCAACAAGAGUGGAUCUUUGAACUCCGUCAUCCAAUUUUCUAAGUGUUUCUGAAAUGUAAGUGCUUCUAAUUCCAAUCCAAGCCUAGAUUCAUGAUUCAUUAUAAUCUUCUUUGGUAUUAGAAAUGAUUGAAUUAGAAAAUGAUGCUGUUGAAAUGGAUUCAACACCAAAAAAUCUAGAUUGUUCUUAGGGUUGAGAUGUUUUAUAAGUUUGGUUCUUCUGGUAAUGGUUGCUUAGGGUUUUGUUAUGAUAGUCGUGAAAUUAGGUUAAUUUGGUGUUGGAACCCUUCCACUAAAGAAUACACAAAACAUACAAAACAUCUCAAUAGGCUCUUGGGUAUUUGGAUAUCGGCUAUACAUGGAGACCAUAAUACACGGAGAAGUCUUGAUGAUGUCCCUCAGUAUCAUUUUGGGGCAAUCUUUGUGAUUGGAUAGAAGUUAAGCUUAAAAGGUAAUCAUCUUAAUGACUGCAGUGAGCAUAGUAAAAUCCUGUUGGCAUCUGAUGUUGCAGCGCGAAGCUCUGCUCAAUCACGGUCCCUAAAUCCAUAGAUGGUCAGCGGUGGGAUAUUUAUUAUUAAGCAUGAAGAGGCUCGAUGAUUUGUGUAAUGAAGACAGGGUGCAAGAUUUUGUUUCACUUAAAUUUGGUAUCAGUGUUUAGAGUAACACAGAGAUUAAUCUCGAGAAGAAAGAUAAUUUGGGUUGCGGUAUCUUAAGAUAUCCAAAACCUAUGUUGUCAAAGGCGCAGGAAUGUUAAUGUGGCGGCCUCGCCAUUAAUGCGCCCAAGGCGCCUAAUGCGUAGUAGAUGAGUGUAUUCAGUGCUGGUUUGCAGCAUCAAUCAUGGCAUUAAUAUCAUCAGGGCAUUCAUACGACAAACUGUAGUCUUCACACUCUAUAUAUACUUUUCCCUGGUCGCCUAGUGCGUGUAUGUUUGCAGCAUCGAUCAUGGCAUUAAUAUCAUCAGGGCAUUCAUUCGACAAACUGUAGUCUUCACACUCUAUAUAUACUUUUCCCUGGUCGCCUGGUGCGUGUAUGUUUGCAGCAUCGAUCAUGGCAUUGAUACCAUCAGGGCAUUCAUUCAACAAACUGUAGUCUUCACACCCUCUAUAUACUUUUCCCUGGUCGCCUAGUGCAUGUAAUGCUUGAGAAUUAGAGUUCUAUUCUUGCAUUCUGAUCUAGGUAGUGAAAACAACUUCUUUUCUUAAGGUAAAAGAAGAAGAAAGAAGUUGAUUUCAUUAAUAGAUGAGAAUGCGUGUGUGGGAUAAUGGAAGCUGGUAAGAAAAUUGAAGUUGACUGUUUUGAUUUGGAAGAAGCUUGGAUGCUGGUUCAGCAAAAGGUCCAGCAAAGAAGUUCUAAGUUGACAUCCAGAUGUACCUGAGGUUGCCUAAAAGUUAUGAAAGAAUGUCACAUUGAGCUCCCAUCGAUAUUGGUUGAACUGUUGGUACAACAAAGUCUCUGAAAGUUGCAACACGGAGUUGGUUUUAGAAUUCAGGUUUUAUCACCUUAGAUGGUUGGUCUGAUUAAGAAAUGGACUCCAUGAUUGAGAUUGGUGGAAAUUCUUCUGCUAGUUCAACCUACGCUUUUAUACCUGUUGGAAUCACAAAGCCUGGAGCAGAUUCAAGUCAUGAACGGAGUUCCAAGUCCAUCAGGGCCUGAAGAAAGCAGACCAACAAAGGAUACUGGACGAUUUCAAUAAACAAAGAUUUGAGGUUACCCAACCAUUGGUAGUUCAGUCGGUUGUGCUGGCAGCACCGACACCCCUGCUGAUUUUACUGCUGCUGCAGCUGGUAACUCAACAUCAACCAUGGGUAUUGUUUCUCGUGACGAUGUGUUAACUCGAAUAGCGGCACUUGGAAGAGGUGCUGCAUGCAAGCAUUCCAAAGGUUCCUUGGCCUAGAGGCAAGGAUAAAAAAGAUGGGCCUUUCCGGAAGUGUUUUUGAAUUCUGGUGAUAUGUUCAUGUGAUUGACUUUGAAAACAGGGUUUCCCAAACCUUAUGUGAUAUGCAGCAUAUGCUUAUUCGAAGUCUUGUUUUUUGGUAUAUUGAUUAAUCGAGCAUCUUCCUGAUGAUGUAAAACUUGUGGUCUUUGUGCAAACUUGUUUGUAAAACCUUCUCUCACCUAAAGCACAACUCUCCAUAAGCAUCAGUGGAGGUGUUCGCUUCUGCAUUUCCAUAAUGUGCUGGUAGCAAUCCGAUUCCAGGGUGUCAACUGUCAAGUUCAUAGACAA